UACGGAGGAUCCGAGCGUUAUCCGGAUUUAUUGGGUUUAAAGGGUGCGUAGGCGGCCUAUUAAGUCAGGGGUGAAAGACGGCAGCUCAACUGUCGCAGUGCCUUUGAUACUGAUGGGCUUGAAUGUGGUUGAAGAUGGCGGAAUGAGACAAGUAGCGGUGAAAUGCAUAGAUAUGUCUCAGAACACCGAUUGCGAAGGCAGCUGUCUAAGUCAUAAUUGACGCUGAUGCACGAAAGCGUGGGGAUCGAACAGG
rnacentral:rRNA from 1 species